AAACUCGCACAUCCAUUGCACAUUCUCUUCCAUACACCUUUGGUUCACAUUAUUAUUUUCGGAGAAAAUAAAGCGAGCUUGGUCGGCAGCCGGUCAUCGUGAGUGGAGUUUUCAUCGUUGGUAAACUAAAUGGUCUGCAACAUUUGAAGAACUCAAUUUUUCGAUAAUUUUCCUGCAUCGGAAGCUUCAACGCCGUCGAACAUGUUUCCAAACGAACCAACCCACAGACAUUUAAUUGCAGUUGGUAAAUCGAUUGGUAUUUGGUGGCAAAUUAAUAUGAAACCGGGACACGUUCCUCACUACAUUUACGCCUCCCUGACUACCGGGGGUUGAUGCCCAGGUAAUUUAAUAUCCGGUCCAGUGGAGCGUCACCUGUUAGUUACCUGAUUCCACCUGAAAAUAGCAUCGUCGAUCCUCUGGAUUCACUCGGCUGUUCCACACGUCUGUGUC